rnacentral:rRNA from 1 species
ACGCGAAAACCUUACCCAGACUUGACAUGCAUCGGACGGGUGUGGAAACACACCUUCCCUUCGGGGCCGGUGCACAGGUGCUGCAUGGCUGUCGUCAGCUCGUGUCGUGAGAUGUUGGGUUAAGUCCCGCAACGAGCGCAACCCUUGUCCUUAGUUGCUAACGGGUAAAGCUGAGCACUCUAAGGAGACUGCCGGUGAUAAACCAGAGGAAGGUGGGGAUGACGUCAAGUCCUCAUGGCCCUUACGUCUGGGGCUACACACGUGCUACAAUGGCCGGCACAGAGGGUUCCGAUACCGCGAGGUGGAGGCAAUCCCAAAAAACCGGUCUCAGUUCGGAUUGCAGUCUGCAACUCGACUGCAUGAAGUCGGAAUCGCUAGUAAUCGCUGAUCAGCAGGCAGCGGUGAAUACGUUCCCGGGUCUUGUACACACCG